UUUGAUCCUGGCUCAGGACGAACGCUGGCGGCGUGCCUAAUACAUGCAAGUCGAACGCGUCUCCGUUGAUGAUUUUAGGUGCUUGCACCUGAAAGAUUUAACAUUGAGACGAGUGGCGAACUGGUGAGUAACACGUGGGUAACCUGCCCUUGAAGUAGGGGAUAACACUUGGAAACAGGUGCUAAUACCGUAUAACAACCAAAACCACCUGGUUUUGGUUUAAAAGACGGCUUCGGCUGUCACUUUAGGAUGGACCCGCGGCGUAUUAGCUUGUUGGUAAGGUAACGGCCUACCAAGGCGAUGAUACGUAGCCGACCUGAGAGGGUAAUCGGCCACAUUGGGACUGAGACACGGCCCAAACUCCUACGGGAGGCAGCAGUAGGGAAUCUUCCACAAUGGACGAAAGUCUGAUGGAGCAACGCCGCGUGAGUGAUGAAGGGUUUCGGCUCGUAAAACUCUGUUGUUGGAGAAGAACAGGUGUCAGAGUAACUGUUGACAUCUUGACGGUAUCCAACCAGAAAGCCACGGCUAACUACGUGCCAGCAGCCGCGGUAAUACGUAGGUGGCA
rnacentral:rRNA from 1 species